rnacentral:misc_RNA from 1 species
AGCUGUUUCACUAUUACAAUAAAAUUUUUGAUAAACAUAUUCUAGCGGUGUGCAUAUGAUAUUUACAUGAUUUGGGAGCUCAAACCGUGACAGUUAGGUCGUUCAGCUGUACCCACCCAUAAGCACACCGAUCNUCUUUUGAACUGUUGAUACCGCCAAAUCAACCAUUGGCCGAAUUCUAGUCAACUCUUUCUCCACUGGUAUUCUUGCGUUGUCGUCCAUCUUUUCCAUGCAACGUACGGUGUCCAGUAGAUGGCAGAAAUAUGAAAGCUGCUUGUACAGAU